CAUUCAUAUUUCAUCCAUCGAUAGAGUAAAGCAGAGCAGGCACAGCUGAACAGCGGCGGCAAAAUCAGUAAAUUUUUGCAUAAAAAAUUUGUAAUUUUCAAAACAGUGCAUAAAAAGGCAAAGAAUGAGUACUGGCGGCACCGGAGGCGGUGUUGGAGGCGGUGCACGCCCACCACCCAGAAUCGAUGGCAUGGUCUCGCUAAAGGUCGACAAUCUCACAUAUCGCACCACGCCCGAAGACUUGCGUCGUGUCUUCGAACGUUGCGGCGAAGUUGGCGACAUUUACAUACCACGCGAUCGCUACACACGUGAAAGUCGCGGAUUUGCCUUUGUGCGCUUCUAUGAUAAGCGCGACGCUGAGGAUGCACUAGAGGCCAUGGAUGGUCGUAUGCUGGACGGCAGGGAGCUGCGCGUUCAAAUGGCACGCUAUGGUCGACCUUCGUCACCGACACGCCGCAACAGCAGCAGUAGUCGUCGUGGCGCUGGUCUUGGCGCCGGCGCUGGCGGCGGUGCUGGAGGACGUCGUCGCUCGCGUUCACGUUCGCCGAUGCGUCGUCGUUCGCGCAGUCCGCGACGACGCUCCUCAUAUUCGCCUCGUUCACGCUCGCGCUCGGCGGGCAGUCGUUCACCCGGUCGUCGCAGCAAAUUUUCACGCAGUCCCGUGCGCGGCGACAGUCGCAACGGUAUCGGUAGCGGCGGCCUGGCCAGCGGCUCACGCAGUCGCAGUCGUUCCUAAAAAUGCUGCUCGCUUCAGACGUUCCAUACUUUUACGUACGAAAAGGCCUUAAUUGACUCGUGGACAACGGUAUAUCCAGGAAAACCCGCUCAACUAGGCUGCUGUAAGAACUUCUCAUGCUGUGUACCAGAACAGCAGGCAAGAGUGCGCGGCGUUUGUUGCAGUCGUUGCUGUUAAUGUAUAUGUUAUGUUAUGGCUGGCGUGCGAGUCGUGCGUGGGCAAGGGAGAGAGUCGGUCAGUCGGCGAGCGAGAGAGGUAAAGCGAAAGUGAGAGCGCGGAGCAAUGCAGCGUGUGUUCAUUUCUUUCUAUAUACAUUAUAAACUGAGCAGCAUACACAAAACGAGAGCGGAGAGCGGAAACGUCGCGUCGCUGCUGCCGGGUGCUGCUCAUGCUGCUGCUGCUACUGCUACUGUUGCUGUUAUCUGCAAAACUUCGCUGCGCUGCUGAUGCCGCUGUUGCUGUUACUUCGAACUUCCCCACACACCCACACAUACACAACCCACACGCACGCGCGCACACAUAUACUCACAAUGUUGCCGUUGCGUCUGCGUCUGCCGAGUUGGUGCUGUUGCUGCUGUUAUGCUGCUGCAGAUGCCGGCGUCCUUGUCUGCCGCCGGCCCUCAACUGUUUCGCUGUUUAGUUUACCGUUGGCGUUUUGCUGCUUCACUUCUUGUUCGCACUUGUUGCUGUUGGCGGUGUUGUUGGCGUUGUUUCCUGCUGUUUCCAGCUCUAUCUAGCGAUUGGUGGGGCCUACUUUUGACUUUAGCGAAAUUUGUAGCGGACUCGGACAACAAAUGACGCCCCCACCCUCCCCAACCACUGAGCAUAAAUUUGAUUGAUUCACCUGGAAUCCAACUGGUAAGUAAAGCAUUAACAUAUGUAGCUAA